AACAUACUUCGUCCGUCCAACAAUGGAUGUCUCAACUUUGACUAAAUUUGAAUGCAUUUAUAUACUAAGUCAUGUCUACAUACAUUCAAAUUUGAACAAAUUUGAGACAUCUUUUGUUGGACGGAGAGAGUAAAUG
rfam:Brachypodium distachyon strain Bd21 chromosome 2, whole genome shotgun sequence.